GCCUGUGGGUUGUAAACCUCUUUUCUCAAGGAAGAAGUUCUGACGGUACUUGAGGAAUAAGCAUCGGCUAACUCUGUGCCAGCAGCCGCGGUAAUACAGAGGAUGCAAGCGUUAUCCGGAAUCACUGGGCAUAAAGCGUCUGUAGGUUGCUUAUCAAGUCUGCUGUUAAAGACCAGGGCCUAACCCUGGGAAAGCAGUGGAAACUAGUAGGCUUGAGUGUGGUAGAGGUAGAGGGAAUUCCUGGUGUAGCGGUGAAAUGCGUAGAUAUUAGGAAGAACACCAACGGCGAAAGCACUCUACUGGGCCAUAACUGACACUGAGAGACGACAGCUAGGGGAGCAAAUGGGAUUAGAUACCCCAGUAGUCCUAGCCGUAAACGAUGGAUACUAGGUGUUGCACGUAUUAACCCGUGCAGUAUCGUAGCU
rnacentral:rRNA from 1 species